rnacentral:rRNA from 1 species
CAGCAGCCGCGGUAAUACGUAGGUGACAAGCGUUGUCCGGAAUUACUGGGCGUAAAGGGCUCGCAGGCGGUUUCUUAAGUCUGAUGUGAAAGCCCCCGGCUCAACCGGGGAGGGUCAUUGGAAACUGGGAAACUUGAGUGCAGAAGAGGAGAGUGGAAUUCCACGUGUAGCGGUGAAAUGCGUAGAGAUGUGGAGGAACACCAGUGGCGAAGGCGACUCUCUGGUCUGUAACUGACGCUGAGGAGCGAAAGCGUGGGGAGCGGACAGGAUUAGAUACCCCUGUAGUCCCUGUCUCUUAACA